GUGUUUGUUUUUGCAGCACAUAUACUAAAAUUGGAGUGAUACAGGGAAUAUUAGCAUGACCCCUGUGCAAGGAUGAAAUGCAAGAAAAACUGCCAGCCAAAAAUACU